UUAAUGCAGGGAUUAUAGGCUUGCUUCUCCACAUUUGUCCAAACAGGAAAUUCAAAGGCACUCAUCCUGAAGGUCAGCUUUCUGUUCCUUCGUCUUCACUGUCAACACCCUUAUUGGACUUGUGAGCACAAGGACAGUAAAUGGAGUGACUCUUGCAGAAACAUGGAGGGUCCCUGGGGUCUUGGAGGAGCUUCAGGAGCAGGAUUGCUCCCCACUCCACAGGAUCCACCGGUCCCAGCCCCAUCUGAUCUUGCUAAUUAGGCAAUUCACCAGGGCCUCUGAAUCUACCUGCUCACAUCCAGACAAACUGGCCACUAUCUGUAAAGGGAUCAGGCAGGGGCUGGCUCAUCUUUCCAGUCAGGGAAAUAAUGGUUUUACCAACACUCUGGAUGAGUGUAUGUGUGUAUGUGCCUCCCAGAAAUCUAAUUGUGUGAAGUGUAACAGGUAUGAAAUUGUUCUCACUUCCCUGAUGCUGAGAGGUGACAGCCAAAGGAGCCAUCCUACCUACUCACAUGGUUCUGAACAUGAUGGGGUAUCCUGAGUGCAGUUUUACUGGUUAGAGAUGGACCUUUUGAAAGAGGCAGUUCUGCAUGGGACAAAAGAGGGGUGCACCUAUCAGCUGUAUCCCUUUAUGAUCUGUUAGUUACAGUUGGUGCUAACAUCAUUGAGUUC